CCUACGGUGUGCAGCAUUGAGGAAUAUUGGUCAAUGGGCGGGAGCCUGAACCAGCCAAGUCGCGUGAAGGAAGAAGGUACUUAGUAUUUUAAACUUCUUUUGUCGGGGAACAAAGGCGGAGACGCGUCUCCGGAUGAGUGUAUCCGAAGAAAAAGCAUCGGCUAACUCCGUGCCAGCCGCAGCGGUAAUACGGAGGAGGUGAGCGUUAUCCGGAUUUAUUGGGUUUAAAGGGUGCGCGGGCGGGAGAUCAAGUCAGCGGUAAAAUGUCGGGGCUCAACCCCGGCCGGCCGUGGAAACUGGUAUUCUAGAGUAGGAGAGAAGUAUGCGGAAUUCGUGGUGUAGCGGUGAAAUGCAUAGAUAUCACGAAGAACUCCGAUUGCGAAGGCAGCAUACCGGCUCCAUACUGACGCUGAGGCACGAAAGCGUGGGGAUCGAACAGGAUUAGAUACCCGUGUAGUC
rnacentral:rRNA from 1 species